rnacentral:rRNA from 1 species
CCUACGGGAGGCAGCAGUGGGGAAUAUUGCGCAAUGGGCGAAAGCCUGACGCAGCGACGCCGCGUGAGGGAUGAAGGUCUUCGGAUCGUAAACCUCUGUCAGCAGGGAAGAACGGUCACUGUGCUAAUCAGCAGUGAAUUGACGGUACCUGCAAAGGAAGCACCGGCUAACUCCGUGCCAGCAGCCGCGGUAAUACGGAGGGUGCGGGCGUUAAUCGGAAUUACUGGGCGUAAAGCGCUCGUAGGCGGUAUGUCAAGUCAAGGGUGAAAUCCCCGCGCUCAACGUGGGAACUGCCGUUGAAACUGGAAAACUGGAGUGUUUACAGGGAUAGUGGAAUUCCAGGUGUAGGAGUGAAAUCCGUAGAUAUCUGGAGGAACAUCAGUGGCGAAGGAGACUGUCUGGCACAUAACUGACGCUGAGGAGCGAAAGCGUGGGUAGCAAACAGGAUUAGAUACCCUUGUAGUC